rnacentral:rRNA from 1 species
GAUGAACGCUGGCGGCGUGCCUAAUACAUGCAAGUCGAGCGAACAGACGAGGAGCUUGCUCCUCUGACGUUAGCGGCGGACGGGUGAGUAACACGUGGAUAACCUACCUAUAAGACUGGGAUAACUUCGGGAAACCGGAGCUAAUACCGGAUAAUAUAUUGAACCGCAUGGUUCAAUAGUGAAAGACGGUUUUGCUGUCACUUAUAGAUGGAUCCGCGCCGCAUUAGCUAGUUGGUAAGGUAACGGCUUACCAAGGCAACGAUGCGUAGCCGACCUGAGAGGGGGUACGGCCACCAUGGAACUGAGACACGGUCCAGACCCCUACGGGAGGCAGAAGUAGGGAAUCUGCCGAAAGGGGCGAAAGCCUGACGGAGAAACGCCGCGGGAGUGAGGAAGGUCUGCGGAUCGUAAAACUCUGUUAUUAGGGAAGAAAAAAUGUGUAAGUAACUAUGCCCGUCUUGAGGGACCCUAAUCAAAAAGCCACGGCAAACUACGU